UACGUAGGGUGCAAGCGUUAAUCGGAAUUACUGGGCGUAAAGCGUGCGCAGGCGGUUAUGUAAGACAGGUGUGAAAUCCCCGGGCUCAACCUGGGAACUGCCUUUGUGACUGCAAGGCUUGAGUGCGGCAGAGGGGGAUGGAAUUCCGCGUGUAGCAGUGAAAUGCGUAGAUAUGCGGAGGAACACCGAUGGCGAAGGCAAUCCCCUGGGCCUGCACUGACGCUCAUGCACGAAAGCGUGGGGAGCAAACAGG
rnacentral:rRNA from 1 species